rnacentral:rRNA from 1 species
UACGUAGGGACCGAGCGUUGUCCGGAAUCAUUGGGCGUAAAGAGCGUGUAGGCGGCCUUUUAAGUCCUGCGUGAAAUCCUGCGGCUCAACCGCAGACGGUCGUGGGAAACUGGAAGGCUAGAGUGCGGGAGAGGAGAGUGGAAUUCCCCGUGUAGCGGUGAAAUGCGCAGAUAUCGGGAAGAACACCCGUGGCGAAGGCGGCUCUCUGGAACGCAACUGACGCUGAGACGCGAAAGCGUGGGGAGCAAACAGG